rfam:Schistosoma rodhaini strain Burundi genome assembly, scaffold: SROB_scaffold0002002
AUCCAGCUGACGAGUCCAAAAUAGGAGGAAAUGCGUUUUGUGGAU